CCUACGGGAGGCAGCAGUGAGGAAUAUUGGUCAAUGGGCGAGAGCCUGAACCAGCCACGUAGCGUGAAGGAUGACUGCCCUACGGGUUGUAAGCUUCUUUUAUAGGGGAGUAAAGUACGGUACGUGUGCAUUUUUGUAUGUACUAUAUGAAUACGGCUCGGCUAACUCCGUGCCAGCAGCCGCGGUAAUCCGGAGGAUCCGAGCGUUAUCCGGAUUUAGUGGGUUUAAAGGGAGCGUAGUGGGGUGCUUAAGUCAGGUGUGAAAGUUUGCGGCUCAACCGUAAAAUUGCUGUUGAUACUGGGAGUCUUGAGUGCAGGAGAGGUAGGCGGAAUUCGUGGUGUAGCGGUGAAAUGCGUAGAUAUCACGAAGAACUCCGAUUGCGAAGGCAGCUUACUAAACUGUAACUGACAUUGAUGCUCGAAAGCGUGGGUAUCAAACAGGAUUAGAUACCCGGGUAGUC
rnacentral:rRNA from 1 species